rnacentral:misc_RNA from 1 species
UCGAGAGAGGGGCCUCGUGCUCCCGGGGGCUUCGGCCCCCAACUCUUCACCCGAUGUCUAUCUACCUUUGUUGCUUUGGCGGGCCCCCGAGGGUACCCUUCGCACCCGCGCCGGAACCGUUUGGCCCGGCGUGUGUGAGUGCCCGUCAGAGUCCCAGUAUAAACCCCGUGAGAAAUCAGUGAUGUCCGAGCUCUGAGGAAUAGUACAA